CACUUGAGUAUGAUAUUGACUAAGGGGCGAAAAAGCUAUCGUCACUUAGUACUUUAAGAAGUGAAGUAAUUUGUGGCCGUUUUCGCCCGAAUCAUGUAGGCGAACGAGAAACUUCAGGCAUAUAGCUAGACUGCUAGUCCUUCCUGUGUUGUGUGUUCAGCCGCGUUGUCCCGGCCGGCUGCUUCCGAUGCCCUCAAGAAAGGUUCCGGGCAAAGUCCGACGGAUGUAGGAAAGCGGGAAAGGUCGGCUGUGGUGCACGGAUGUGGAGCGGAGCUAUAGUCCCCAAGGCGCGUGGUCGUUUGUGAUAAUUUGAGUGAAGAAUAAUAUGAUCGGAUCGAUGUUUGAGAAGGAAAACGAGGAUAUCGUGGAGUAAGAUUGAUUCGAGAAGUGGAAAGCAGUGAAAUAAAGAGGAGCCAGGCCCAUGCCUGGGCUCAGCGCGCUGCAAGUUCGUGCUGAAAAGAAGCUGGAGAAAAGGCUGUGAAUCCAGGAAGAGGCUCUGAAAAGUGAAUUGCUAUCACUCGACUUCGCCCGCAUCUUCUCUGCUGUCCUACCUCCCAUCCGCCUGCCCCGCCCUCUGGUAGCCGUAAUGCCAGGCACCCAGAAGUCCAGAGCAACAUGCCUGGGGCAGUAAGACGUCCCAUCGCUCUCUAAGGCACACUGAAAGGCCUCUGACUGCCGAGGUCCCAGUGGAAACGGAACGAAUAGGGGGCGUCUUCCUAACCUGGGGAGGGAAGGGAAAACAAAGCCAAGGAGAUGUCAACUAAAACGUGAAUGUGAUCUUUAUUAUACAGCACAUGUGGUAUCUGUACAUCCCAACAAGUAUACAGGAUACUCUAUAAAACCAAACCUGACCACUCAAAGUUACACUGGACGAAGAUUUAACCCAAAGUCACGUCUUGUAAAAACACAACGCGGUCCUGUGUGCCAUGUUCCGGAUCGAGGCAGCACAAGAAGGGAGAGGAGGAGGACUGGGUUUGGGCCAACGUAACAUCCUCUGGUUAUUGCACUUUCAUUCUACACACUCAGUACGUUAUGCUUUUAUUAACACUGUAAUAGACAUUAGUCCUUUUGAAACAAAUAAAAAUAUUACAUAAAGGUAAAAGACAA